UAGAAGACAAUUAAGCCCCCAGCCCCCCACUCGAUGCUGUGGUAACAAGCAUUCUUGCUCUGCGGCCAACCUCAUACCCUGUAUGCAGCUUGUAUCCUGCCUUUUCCCCUUUUAGAAACUCUUGGCCAAAUAAUCUUAACCAUAAGCAUAGUAUUUCAUAUUAAAAUUUUGUUGGUUUUCUUUUAAAACAUUGUUUUUAAUAUCUUUUGCCAGGUCAGCUUCAAUAAGAUAUAAUUGUACCCAAUGAAGGUCAUCACUUUCAGGAAGCAUCUGGACGAACAGUCCUGCCACGCUCUUUGAAGUUCCCGACACAUGGUAACCAAGACCUGAGGGCAGCAAACCGCUGGUGCUGUCUCUGUGAGCAAGAGCCGGGUGGCACAUUUGGAAGCCAUACUGUAUUUAACUUAAUCAAAUGUGGUAUGGGAGGGGUUGGAAACCAAGUUGUCUCCUGGGGGGAAGAAAAGACAGGUUUUAUUUUUGUGGCUGUGUUUUUUUCCCUUUUUAAUCUAACUGCCUGUUGAUGUUGACACUCAUCAGGGUUGUAGGCUGUCAUGAAUGUGUACGUGCUUAACCAGUGAAUUCCAUGUUGCUCGUGUGAGGCCUUUCCUGUCAUGACCCACUGUGCUUAAGAACCUGCCUGAUGGGGAGUGUCGGCUGUGAAAUCUGCAAAAAGAGCUGACGUUCCGGCUGCCGUGAUCAUGAAUUGGGGGUGUACUCUCCUGCCUGUGCAUCUUCUCGCGCUGAGAUUUUGAGGCGGUUGCAGCCCUCGGUUAGUCUCCCAGUGGA
rnacentral:lncRNA from 1 species